UACGUAGGGUGCAAGCGUUGUCCGGAAUUAUUGGGCGUAAAGAGCUCGUAGGCGGUUUGUUGCGUCGGCUGUGAAAUCCCGAGGCUCAACCUCGGGUCUGCCGUCGAUACGAGCAAACUAGAGUGUUGCAGGGGAGACUGGAAUUCCUGGUGUAGCGGUGAAAUGCGCAGAUAUCAGGAGGAACACCGGUGGCGAAGGCGGGUCUCUGGGCAACAACUGACGCUGAGGAGCGAAAGCGUGGGGAGCGAACAGG
rnacentral:rRNA from 1 species